CCUACGGGUGGCAGCAGUGGGGAAUAUUGGGCAAUGGGCGCAAGCCUGACCCAGCAACGCCGCGUGCAGGCAGAAGGCUUUCGGGUUGUAAACUUCUUUUGUCAGGGAAGAGUAGAAGACGGUACCUGACGAAUAAGCCCAGGCUAACUACGUGCCAGCAGCCGCGGUAAUACGUAGGUGGCAAGCGUUGUCCGGAUUUACUGGGUGUAAAGGGCGUGUAGCCGGGUUGACAAGUCAGAUGUGAAAUCCUGCGGCUUAACCGCAGAACUGCAAUUGAAACUGUUGAUCUUGAGUACUGGAGAGGCAGAUGGAAUUCCGAGUGUAGCGGUGAAAUGCGUAGAUAGUAGGAGGAACACCAGUGGCGAAGGCGGUCUGCUGGACAGCAACUGACGGUGAGGCGCGAAAGCGUGGGGAGCAAACAGGAUUAGAUACCCGAGUAGUC
rnacentral:rRNA from 1 species